rnacentral:rRNA from 1 species
GACGAACGCUGGCGGCGUGCUUAACACAUGCAAGUCGAGCGGUAAGGCCCUUUCGGGGGUACACGAGCGGCGAACGGGUGAGUAACACGUGGGUGACCUGCCUUUAGCUCUGGGAUAAGCCUGGGAAACUGGGUCUAAUACCGGAUAUGACUCCAUGAUGCAUGUUGUGGGUGAAAGCCUUGUGCGGCUGGAGAUGGGCCCGCGGCCUAUCAGCUUGUUGGUGGGGUGAUGGCCUACCAAGGCGACGACGGGUAGCCGGCCUGAGAGGGCGACCGGCCACACUGGGACUGAGACACGGCCCAGACUCCUACGGGAGGCAGCAGUGGGGAAUCUUGCGCAAUGGGCGAAAGCCUGACGCAGCGACGCCGCGUGAGGGAUGACGGCCU